rnacentral:sRNA from 1 species
AAAUUAAAUUAUUAACGUCGCACAUACACCGUCACAUCCGCUCUGGGUGCCCCUUUGGGGUGAGCGAUGGGGUGUGUGGAGGCCUAAC